AACAGCAUUUUAAGUAAAACCUAAAAGACGAAAACUCAGCGGCUCCAAAAACACAGUGUAUUUGAGUCACAUCGACUGAACUCAACUCAACUUCCCGCAAAACGCAGGAUUUCAUCGCCGGCCGCUAAUUAUUAAGAAAUUUCUUCUUCGAACCCAAUCCCCCAAAUCGAUUUCACCUUACUCUGCCAUUCUCUCCGGCGGCGGCGGCGCAACUCCUCCGGCGUUCUUUCUCUGUGCGCGACUAUUCUCUUUACGCUUUAUCUUUCUAUACAAAGGUUAUGCUAAGUCCCUGACAAUGUCUUCUAAGAAAGUAGUUUCUGCUAGUUCUCUUAUGAGGUUGUGCAAUGGAUGUUGUUCACGCAACGUUGGGAAUUGUAUCAAAAGCCACAAUAUGUUAAGGACUAUGUGCACUGCUGUUGAAAGGUGGGAUUUUCAAUUUUCUGGUGGUUAUCAAGCAGUUGAUUCUUACCAGCAAAAUCAGGCUGGGUUUCAUCAGCAGAAUGCAGGUGGUUAUCAAGCAGUUGAUUCUUACCAGCAAAAUCAGGCUGGGUUUCAUCAGCAGAAUGCAGGUGGUUAUCAAGCAGUUGAUUCUUACCAGCAAAAUCAGGCUGGGUUUCAUCAGCAGAAUGCAGGUGGAUCCUAUCAGAAUAAUCAUGCUAGUUCAGAGCAAAUUUCUUACGGGUCUGGUCAUUCUGCAAGUGGAAGACAUAUAAAUAUCCCUCAAAAUGUAGCUCAAAAUAAUUUGGCAGGGCAUAAUGGAAGUGUCAGUGCGGACUUUGGUCAAAGCAACUUGAAAGUGCACCAUAAAGUUGGGGUAGGUGUUGAUGAUUCAAGGGGCGUUGGAACGCAUCCUAAUGCUUUUUAUGAGAAACAUAAUUGGAGACUAGAUUCUGGAGAAAAGGUUAAGUACCCCAAUGCAUAUAGUUUACCUAGGCCCUUAGAGUAUCAGGGACAGAAAGGGAACCUUACUCAAAACACUGGUCGUUUUCAGCAGGCACCAAAUGACUAUUACACAAGGAGUAAUGAAACAGGUCAACAAUACUCAGCUUAUAGACAAUCUCAGCAGUGUCUAGUAGAUGGUCCAUAUACUCCAAACUUGAAUACUACACAGAAACCAAUGGUUAGCUCUCCUCUAUCGAGUAGUGCAAAACCUGACGGCGUAUCAUUUGAGGCAUCCAAUGAUGGUCCAUAUAGAGGUACACUUGAGGAACUAGAUAGUUUCUACGUGGAGGGUAAAGUGAAGGAAGCGGUUGAAGUUUUGCAAGUGUUGGAAAAGCUUCAUGUUCCGGUGGGUUUGGAUCGUUGUGUGCAAUUAAUGCACCAAUGUGGGAAGACCAAGUCUCUUGAAGAGGCAAAAGUUGUACACAGACAUGCUUUGCAACAUUUUUCACCUCUCAAAGUUAGCACAUGCAAUAUAAUUUUGGAGAUGUAUUUUGAAUGUGGUUCUGAAGAUGAUGCACUCAAAGUGUUCAAGAACAUGCCAGAGCGUGAUUUGACUACUUGGUGUACUAUGAUAAAACAGCUCACUAAGAAUGGGUUUGCAGAAGAUUCAAUUGAUCUUUUCACUGAAUUCAAAAGCUUGGGUCUCAAACCAGAUGGACAAAUAUUUAUUGCAGUUUUUUCUGCAUGUUCUAUGUUGGGAGAUAUUGAUGAGGGAAUGCUUCAUUUUGAAUCCAUGAGUAAGGAUUAUGGCAUUGUACCAUCUAUGGCCCAUUAUGUCAGUGUAGUAGACAUGAUUGGUGGUAUUGGACAUCUUGAUGAAGCCUUGGAGUUCAUUGAAAAGAUGCCAUUGGAACCAAGUGCUGAUGUAUGGGAGACUCUGAUGAAUAUGUGUAGAGUUCAUGGGAACACCGAGCUGGGGGAUCGUUGUACUGAACUAAUUGAGAAGCUGGAUCCUACUCGUUUGAAUGAGAAAUCGAAGACUGGGCUUUUACUUGAAGAAAAUCCAGACUCGACGAAAAACAAAGAACAAAACAAAUUAGCAAGCAAAAAUCUUCUAGAAGUUAGAAGUCGAAUCCAUGAAUAUCGAGCAGGAGAUACUUCUCAUCCUGAAAAUGACAAGAUAUAUGCUUUGCUUAGAGGUCUGAGGGUCCAAAUGAAAGAAGCUGGCUACAUUCCAGAGACAAAAUUUGUGUUGCAUGACAUAGACCUCGAAAGUAAAGAAGAUGCUCUCCUUGCUCACAGUGAGAGGCUUGCUGUUGCUUAUGGUCUCCUUAACAGUUCUGCUCGCUCUCCUAUUAGAGUAAUUAAGAACCUCCGUGUUUGUGGUGAUUGCCAUACUGCACUCAAGAUUAUUUCUGAGCUUGUGGGAAGAGAACUCAUCAUUCGAGACGCUAAAAGAUUCCACCAUUUUAAAAAUGGGCUUUGCUCUUGUCGGGAUUAUUGGUGAACGUUAACCUAGGGGAUAUCAUAAUAAUGAAGAAAGAUGAAAACUUAUGUUAAAUGAUAAACUUAGAGACUCUUAAUAUAUAAUACUGGAUCUAGCGAUAAUAUAAGGCUUGGGCUGUUUUCUCUUGGACUGCUGUAGGCCAAGAUAAUUCAAUGGGAAUUUUGGUGCUACUCUGAUUCUUCGUCUAUGGCAUUGCCAUGGGACUAGAGUUCAACUAGGAUAGCUGUAGGACUAGUUUGACUUCUCUGGGAUUGUGAGGCCAAGUUGCAUCUCGGAUAGUCGUAAGGUCAAGUUACGUAUGUGACAAGAUUGCUGGAUGGGUCACAAAAGGUUUCAAAGGCUCUGGGUGAGGUGAGAGGAAAGAGAAACAUCACUGAAUAAGGGUGGUUUAAGGAAGACAGUGUGGCGUGUCGUGUAAAAAAAAUUGCCAAACAAAGACAGAUGUGAGGAAGGGAAACUUUGGCAACCUGGCCAUGUAGCAGAAACAGUCAGGAUCCCGUGGGAAGAUGUCCAACCAUAUACCAGAUUAAAGAAUCCAAGGCAGAUCCUUGUAGUCCACAUGCCAUGUGAGGUGUAGUUUGUGAUGCACAGGAAAAUAAGUACCUUGAAGAAACAGUGCGUAUUAAUGCGUGGCUUGCAGAUUUUUGAUGAAAUUUUAGGAGUGUGGAGAUCAGCUCCCUGCAAGUCUGUCGAUGGUGGCUUUGGUAAGAAUAUUCAUUGGAAAAAUCUUCCAGUGAUGGCAAGCAAUGACUUGAAAAGUAAACUAAUCAAUCUUGCUAGAAAGAUGACACAAAAAGCAGACUUUAAAAACUGGAGAUGAAACACAGUUGAAAAAGCUGGCUAGAAUUUGUGCACAGUGAACAAAAAGAAAAUAAGCAUAGAGAUAAUGGUAUUAUUAUAAUGGAGUUCAAGACUUCCGAUAACUCAGCAAUUGAACAAUGACGGAAUAGGUUAGAGGAUGGUUCUGAUUUGAUACAAUGUUGAAGUUAUAUGGUUGUAGAUAAAUAAUGACAAAAUUAUGAUUAUGGUUUGAAAUGAUGCAAAAGACAUUUACCUCUA